rnacentral:rRNA from 1 species
ACGUACACUCCUACGGGAGGCAGCAGUGGGGAAUUUUGGACAAUGGGCGAAAGCCUGAUCCAGCCAUGCCGCGUGCAGGAUGAAGGCCUUCGGGUUGUAAACUGCUUUUGUACGGAACGAAACGGCCUUUUCUAAUAAAGAGGGCUAAUGACGGUACCGUAAGAAUAAGCACCGGCUAACUACGUGCCAGCAGCCGCGGUAAUACGUAGGGUGCAAGCGUUAAUCGGAAUUACUGGGCGUAAAGCGUGCGCAGGCGGUUAUGUAAGACAGUUGUGAAAUCCCCGGGCUCAACCUGGGAACUGCAUCUGUGACUGCAUAGCUAGAGUACGGUAGAGGGGGAUGGAAUUCCGCGUGUAGCAGUGAAAUGCGUAGAUAUGCGGAGGAACACCGAUGGCGAAGGCAAUCCCCUGGACCUGUACUGACGCUCAUGCACGAAAGCGUGGGGAGCAAACAGGAUUAGAAACCCGAGUAGUCCCAUGA